rnacentral:ribozyme from 1 species
UUUUUUUUUUUUUUUUUUUUUUUUUUUUUCAUCUA